rnacentral:rRNA from 1 species
UACGUAGGGUGCGAGCGUUAAUCGGAAUUACUGGGCGUAAAGCGUGCGCAGGCGGUGAUGUAAGACAGGUGUGAAAUCCCCGGGCUUAACCUGGGAACUGCAUUUGUGACUGCAUCGCUGGAGUGCGGCAGAGGGGGAUGGAAUUCCGCGUGUAGCAGUGAAAUGCGUAGAUAUGCGGAGGAACACCGAUGGCGAAGGCAAUCCCCUGGGCCUGCACUGGACGCUCAUGCACGAAAGCGUGGGGAGCAAACAGGA